rnacentral:rRNA from 1 species
AAUGAACGCUGGCGGCGUGGUUAAGACAUGCAAGUCGAACGGUUUUCAAUGAAGGGCAACCGGAUUUGAAAGCAGUGGCGAACGGGUGCGUAACACGUGAACAAUCUACCUCCAAGUGGGGAAUAGCUCGCCGAAAGGCGAAUUAAUACCGCAUGUGGUGCUCUCUCGCAUGAGAGAGUUACUAAAACAGGGACCGCAAGGCCUGUUGCUCGGGAGAGGU